GAUGAACGCUGGCGGCGUGCCUAAUACAUGCAAGUCGAGCGAACAGACGAGGAGCUUGCUCCUCUGACGUUAGCGGCGGACGGGUGAGUAACACGUGGAUAACCUACCUAUAAGACUGGGAUAACUUCGGGAAACCGGAGCUAAUACCGGAUAAUAUAUUGAACCGCAUGGUUCAAUAGUGAAAGACGGUUUUGCUGUCACUUAUAGAUGGAUCCGCGCCCCAUUAGCUAGUUGGUAAGGUAACGGCUUACCAAGGCAACGAUGCGUAGCCGACCUGAGAGGGUGAUCGGCCACACUGGAACUGAGACACGGUCCAGACUCCUACGGGAGGCAGCAGUAGGGAAUCUUCCGCAAUGGGCGAAAGCUUGACGGAGCAACGCCGCGUGAGUGAUGAAGGUCUUCGGAUCGUAAAACUCUGUUAUUAGGGAAGAACAAAUGUGUAAGUAACUAUGCACGUCUUGACGGUACCUAAUCAGAGAGCCACGGCUAACUACGUG
rnacentral:rRNA from 1 species